rnacentral:misc_RNA from 1 species
UCUCCGUUGGUGAACCAGCGGAGGGAUCAUUACUGAGUUGCAAAACUCCCAACCCUUUGUGAACGAAACUACUAGUUGCCUCGGCGACGAGCCUCUCAGGGGGCGGACCGCCGGAGGCAUACAAACUCUUUGCAUUAAUGUAUCUUUGAUUACUUAUUCAAUAAGUUAAAACUUUCAACAACGGAUCUCUUGGUUAUG